rnacentral:rRNA from 1 species
GACGAACGCUGGCGGCGUGCCUAAUACAUGCAAGUCGAGCGAAGCGGGGACGGUUGAGUAACACGUGGAAAACCUCCUAUACGACUGGGAUAACUUCGGGAAACCGGUGCUAAACCUGAUACUUGUAGAUGGAUCCGCGGUGCAUUAGCUAGUUGGUAAGGUAACGGCUUACAAAGGCAACGAUGCAUAGCCGACCUGAGAGGGUGAUCGGCCACACUGGGACUGAGACACGGUCCAGACUCCUACGGGAGGCAGCAGUAGGGAAUCUUCCGCAAUGGGCGAAAGUCUGACGGAGCAACGCCGCGUGAGUGAUGAAGGUCUUCGGAUCGUAAAACUCUGUUGUUAGGGAAGCGGUACCUAAGCAGAAAGCCACGGCUAACUACGUGCCAGCAGCCGCGGUAAUAC